CAAUAGCGUAUGUUAAAGUUGUUGCAGUUAAAAAGCUCGUAGUUGGACUUCUGAUGUGGGGAUUCGGUCCACCGCAAGGUGAGCACUGAUGUCCUUGCGUCUUCCUCUCGUAGUUGUUUGGCGCACUUAGUUGGGUGCCAGAUGAAUAUGGGACCUUUACUUUGAAAAAAUUAGAGUGUUCAAAGCAGGCGAUCGCUUGAAUACAUUAGCAUGGAAUAAUAGAAUAGGACUUUGGUUCUAUUUUGUUGGUUUCUAGGACCGAAGUAAUGAUUAAUAGGGACAGUUGGGGGCAUUAGUAUUUAAUUGUCAGAGGUGAAAUUCUUGGAUUUAUGAAAGACUAACUACUGCGAAAGCAUUUGCCAAGGAUGUUUUCAUUAAUCAAGAACGAAAGUUAGGGGAUCGAAGAUGAUUAGAUACCGU
rnacentral:rRNA from 1 species